rnacentral:rRNA from 3 species
UGGGGAAUCUUGGACAAUGGGCGCAAGCCUGAUCCAGCCAUGCCGCGUGAGUGAAGAAGGUCUUCGGAUUGUAAAGCUCUUUUGCCAGGGACGAUAAUGACGGUACCUGGAGAAUAAGCCCCGGCAAACUUCGUGCCAGCAGCCGCGGUAAUACGAAGGGGGCUAGCGUUGUUCGGAAUUACUGGGCGUAAAGCGCACGUAGGCGGGUCGUUAAGUCAGGGGUGAAAUCCCGGAGCUCAACUCCGGAACUGCCUUUGAUACUGGCGAUCUUGAGAUCGGAAGAGGUGAGUGGAAUUCCCAGUGUAGAGGUGAAAUUCGUAGAUAUUGGGAAGAACACCAGUGGCGAAGGCGGCUCACUGGUCCGAUACUGACGCUGAGGUGCGAAAGCGUGGGGAGCAAACA